GGGCGCAUAGCUCAGUAGGUAGAGCAACUGCCUUUUAAGCAGAAGGUCGGGGGUUCGAUUCCCUCUGCGCCCACCA
rnacentral:tRNA from 1 species